CCUACGGGGGGCAGCAGUGAGGAAUAUUGGUCAAUGGCCGGAAGGCUGAACCAGCCAAGCCGCGUGAAGGACGAAGGUGCCAAGCAUUGUAAACUUCUUUUGUCAAGGGACAAAAUCAGGCUCGAGAGCCUGACCGAGGGUACUUGAAGAAAAAGCAUCGGCCAACUCGGUGCAAGCAGCCGCGGUAAUAGGGGGGAUGCGAGCGUUAUCCGGAUUUAUUGGGUUUAAAGGGUGCGUAGGCGGGCUGUUAAGGCAGCGGUAAAAGCCCGGGGCUAAACCCCGGCGAGCUGUUGAAACUGGCUGCCUUGAGAUGACGCGAGGUAUGCGGAAUGCGCAGUGUAGCGGUGAAAUGCUUAGAUAUUGCGAAGAACUCCGAUUGCGAAGGCAGCAUACCGGCGGCGAUCUGACGCUGAGGCACGAAAGCGUGGGUAUCGAACAGGAUUAGAUACCCGAGUAGUC
rnacentral:rRNA from 1 species